rnacentral:hammerhead_ribozyme from 1 species
AUCCAACUGACGAGUCCCGAAUAGGACGAAAUGCGCGUCAAACUGGAU